AGCUUGGUAGCUUUGUUGGUAAAGCGCUCGUCUAGCAUACAAGAGUCCUGGGUACGAACCCCAGCAGAGCAC
rfam:Aedes aegypti strain Liverpool supercont1.232 genomic scaffold, whole genome shotgun sequence.